rnacentral:rRNA from 1 species
UAGCGGAGGAAAAGAAACCAACAGGGAUUGUCUUAGUAACGGCGAGUGAAGCGACAAAAGCUCAAAUUUGAAAUCUGGCACCUUCGGUGUCCGAGUUGUAAUUUGAAGAAGGUAACUUUGGAGUUGGCUCUUGUCUAUGUUCCUUGGAACAGGACGUCACAGAGGGUGAGAAUCCCGUGCGAUGAGAUGUCCAACUCUAUGUAAAGUGCUUUCGAAGAGUCGAGUUGUUUGGGAAUGCAGCUCUAAGUGGGUGGUAAAUUCCAUCUAAAGCUAAAUAUUGGCGAGAGACCGAUAGCGAACAAGUACAGUGAUGGAAAGAUGAAAAGAACUUUGAAAAGAGAGUGAAAAAGUACGUGAAAUUGUUGAAAGGGAAGGGUUUGAGAUCAGACUUGGUAUUUUGUAUGUCUUGCUUUCGGGUGGGGCCUCUGCAGUUUACUGGGCCAGCAUCGGUUUGGACGGUAGGAUAAUGACAUUGGAAUGUGGCACUACUUCGGUGGUGUGUUAUAGACUUUGUUGAUACUACCUGUCUAGACCGAGGACUGCGUCUUUGACUAGGAUGCUGGCAUAAUGAUCCUAAACCGCCCGUCUU